AAAGAAGAAAGUCCAAUAACUAUUCGAUAAAGUCAUAAAUAGCUGUAAUUUUUAAAAGUAUUAUUGCUUCUUUUCACCUUUUUACGACAUGUUUUUAUCCAAUAAUUUGUCACUGUGAAUUCAAUUAGUGUUUAAAAUUGAAAACCAGUGAGCAAAUUCCUUUAAAACACGACAUUUCCACCUAUACUUAACAUCAAUGAUUUUUAAAUUAUAUGUUUUGCAAUGUCUGAGACAAUUUUAAACCGUAUUUAUGAGAAUAAACAAAUGUUGGAUAAAAAAAUUUAUUGUUUAAUAUACUGGAUGUCUUGUGGAGCGAAAGAAUCUUUACAAACAAAGUAACUGGCCUGUGAAAGAGGAUCACUUAAUUCAAAGAACUAAACAAGUCCUAAUCACGUAACAGUAAUAACAGAAAUAUUCUGGUCAACUGUUUCUUGAUCAAUUACAGUUAUCAGUCGAGGAUCUACAAUUACUCCAACAUUUAACCUUGACUUAUAACUCUUGGUCUAGCAAAUUUUAAACAGGAUUUAAAUGCUAAUUGUAUUAAUUAUUUUAAUUGAUUGUGUUGAUGCAAAUUAAAUUAAAAACCAGAGAUCUGUAUGAAUUAUUAUUUGAUGUUGUUAUCAGUCAAUGGUGGAAAUUAUGGACGUUCCUGACAUGAUUAGCUUAAUGAAUGCUGUGGCUAAUGUUUAAAGGAAUGAAACAAUGUACAACUGUAAUCAUUAAUUCUGCUGAAAUUAUAACCAAUGAUUUACCAAAUAAUAAAUGACAACAGACUGAUGAAAACAGCUAGGCCGAAACAAAGCUAACUCAGGUUUUCAACUGGUGCCAGCUGGGCUAACCGUGAUUUACUCUUCUGACCGGUGGCAGGUUCCAUCGUUCUCCCACCUCCUACAACCGGAGAUUUUGGUUUAUCCGACAUUUUUUUCACUUUUUGUCCAUCAAAUGAAAAUGUCUUGUA